GCAUAUGAAGCUCCGUCUUGUACACCUAAAAAUUUUCCCCACCCCGUCCCGUGUCGCUCCCGCGAGCGGCCGCGGGGCGAAACCCUAGCCGCCGCCGCUCGGGCCCCUCUUCACCUCCAUCUCGCCGCCGCUGCCGUCGGCCUCCUCUGCCGCGGUGGCGGCGGGCCCCACUCCCCGAAGGGCAGUGGGGGUUCUCUGCGGCGGAGGCGCCCUCGGGCGGACGGGAGCGCGGAGGUCGGGGCGGCGCCCCCGGGUGGCUUGAUGGUGGCGUCCCCGGCGGCACGGGCUCCGGAAGGAGGAGGCGACGGCGGGAUUGGGCGCUGGCGUGCGUGCUGGCCAGGCGCGGCGGCAGAAGCGGGGAUCCGGUGGUGGCCAGAGCUCCGGCCGCGGGGAUUCGGCGGUGACCGGCGCGGUGGUCGCGCCGCUUCUGUUGCUGGCCGUCGGUGGCGAGAUCGUUGCUGGCGGCCAGCCUGGUCGGCCUUGAUGGCGGACGCCGGGGGUUUCCGGGGAGGCGUCUUUGGCUGCUGAUCUGGUGCAGUCGGGGCGUCUGCCUGCCCCGUGCGACGUGAGGCGUCGGCGUGCGGGCCUUUGGCCGGCGUGGUUGUCGUGGUGGAUGCCGGGACGGCGGUUCCGAGAAGUGGCCAUGGUUUUCCGAGCAGUGGAUCUAGUGUGCUGGGCGCGGAUUUUGCUUUGGCAAGCGAUGGCGGAGUAGGAAGUCGAGGUGGCGGCCUCGGAAGGGGGUGAAGGCAGUCUGCUGCGCGGGGCAUAGUUGGGUUCAAGACGCCGGGGCGGCAGCCCCAGGCAGCGACGGUCCUCGGUUUGUCUGAAGCGUUGGAAACGCCGGGCUCUUGAGGCGCGCCUCACCUCCUCCUGUGUCAGGGCGGCCCAUAUCUGCUCUUCCCAUAGCGGUUUCGGUUUCUCACCCCGUCGGCGGGCGGCGGUGCGUGCGGUGUGGUGGUGCGGUGCUCUGUCGAUGCUUCUUUCAUGCUCCUUGAAGCCUGUCGAGGUCCUAUCGCCCCUCCUUGGUGGGUCAUGCCGGAUCUGGGUUGCUUAGUGGAGAGCGUUGUGAUUUUUGAUGUGGCGGGGUUCUUCUUCAGUUGCUCCGUUGGCGGGUUGGCGUGUAGGUGGAACUCCCUGCCCCUUUGAGGUGUCCUAAAAAAAACCUCCGUCUUGGCUCACUUCUUUCAAAGUUACAUGCACCGGUUGUUUCAAAGUACUGAGUUUUUGGAUCGUCUCAUUGUACAUCUUGAGAGCCUCACUUUGUGGAUGAAUAGAAGGUGGGGGUAUAUACUCUAGAUUGCUUGUUUGCAUACUGGAAAAAAAUUAUAUAUGAUCAAGAGAGCAGUUGUAAGGAAGUGAAAUAGAAUUGUAUGCUGGAAUGAAUACCUUGGUUUCGCUCCA